GACGAACGCUGGCGGCGUGCUUAACACAUGCAAGUCGAACGGAAAGGCCCUGCUUUUGUGGGGUGCUCGAGUGGCGAACGGGUUAGUAACACGUGAGUAACCUGCCCUUGACUUUGGGAUAACUUCAGGAAACUGGGGCUAAUACCGGAUAGGAGCUCCUGCUGCAUGGUGGGGGUUGGAAAGUUUCGGCGGUUGGGGAUGGACUCGCGGCUUAUCAGCUUGUUGGUGGGGUAGUGGCUUACCAAGGCUUUGACGGGUAGCUGGCCUGAGAGGGUGACCGGCCACAUUGGGACUGAGAUACGGCCCAGACUCCUACGGGAGGCAGCAGUGGGGAAUAUUGCACAAUGGGCGGAAGCCUGAUGCAGCAACGCCGCGUGCGGGAUGACGGCCUUCGGGUUGUAAACCGCUUUCGCCUGUGACGAAGCGUGAGUGACGGUAAUGGGUAAAGAAGCACCGGCUAACUACGUG
rnacentral:rRNA from 1 species